rnacentral:lncRNA from 1 species
GUCAUUUGAAAUGGCUUCUUAUUUAUUAAUGAGGCUUUUUUUUCCCCUUCAGAUGUUUCACAAAGAGCGCAGUUUGGGGGUUUGAAACUGUUUGGACGGAGAUAACUCAAAUUAUGGGUCCAGGUUGGAACUCAAUGCUCAGGCAUGAGAUGAUGACGACGCCUGGGUGUGAAGUCUGCUCCGAGGCCUUCAGUGCAAGUCCUUGGCACACCUCUUCAGACUCAGCCUUCCCCUCCCAUCCUGAAAGUUUCCAAAGUGAUGGGAGAGAAGCCGUGGUUGUGUUUCCCGGGCUGACACCUCCUGCUGAGCAUCCUUCCCUGCAGGAAUGGCAGUCCUGUCGCGUUACCCUGGGCGCGCGCCGCCGUGCCGCUGAUGGGACCAGACAGGAUCCGUCACUGUGCUGAUGUGUCUCCUCCACAAAAAAUCCCGAAUGACACCAGCAUCCGAGAGACGGGGAACAAAGGGGAAAACAAAUAAAAUUAUCUGCUCUGUUUGGUCCCCUCUGGUC